UUCGUAGGUGAACUGCGGAAGGAUCAUUGUCGAAACCUGCCCAGCAGAGAGACCCGCGAAC
rnacentral:rRNA from 1 species